rnacentral:rRNA from 1 species
UUAAAUGAAUACACAAAACUGUAUGAUGCAUCUUCCCCUUAAUGAGAUGAAUCAUUAUUUUAAUUUAGAAAAAUCUGAAAACUUACUAUAAUUGUAUAGUUUGAAUUAUUUUCAUACCAAUACAAAUUAACUAAUUAUAUAUAGAUUGAAACUAUAUUACUUAAUAAAAUAUUUAUCUUAAAUGUUGUUGUGUUGAUUCAACGCCACAACUAAAAGUGUUUAUAAAUUAUUUGGAAAUGCACAUAUUUGUAAAUGAUUAGUAUCGAUUUAAUAUCGUAUUAUUAAAUUUUUAUUAAUUUUGUAGUCUUAAUCAAAAAAUAAUAUAUGUCAUGUUAUAUUGAAGGUGCAGUUGUUUUUCAUUCUCAAGAGGGGGUCAAAAAAAUACUUUUGAGGUGAUUAUAUGUUAAGAGGACAAGAAGAAAGAAAGUAUAGUAUUAGAAAGUAUUCAAUAGGCGUGGUGUCAGUGUUAGCGGCUACAAUGUUUGUUGUGUCAUCACAUGAAGCACAAGCCUCGGAAAAAACACCAACGUCCAAUGCAGCGGCACAAAAAGAAACACUAAAUCAACCGGGAGAACAAGGGAACGCGAUAACGUCACAUCAAAUGCAGUCAGGAAAGCAAUUAGACGAUAUGCAUAAAGAGAAUGGUAAAAGUGGAACAGUGACAGAAGGUAAAGACACGCUUCAAUCAUCGAAGCAUCAAUCAACACAAAAUAGUAAAACAAUCAGAACGCAAAAUGAUAAUCAAGUAAAGCAAGAUUCUGAACGACAAGGUUCUAAACAGUCACACCAAAAUAAUGCGACUAAUAAUACUGAACGUCAAAAUGAUCAGGUUCAAAAUACCCAUCAUGCUGAACGUAAUGGAUCACAAUCGACAACGUCACAAUCGAAUGAUGUUGAUAAAUCACAACCAUCCAUUCCGGCACAAAAGGUAUUACCCAAUCAUGAUAAAGCAGCACCAACUUCAACUACACCCCCGUCUAAUGAUAAAACUGCACCUAAAUCAACAAAAGCACAAGAUGCAACCACGGACAAACAUCCAAAUCAACAAGAUACACAUCAACCCGCGCAUCAAAUCAUAGAUGCAAAGCAAGAUGAUACUGUUCGCCAAAGUGAACAGAAACCACAAGUUGGCGAUUUAAGUAAACAUAUCGAUGGUCAAAAUUCCCCAGAGAAACCGACAGAUAAAAAUACUGAUAAUAAACAACUAAUCAAAGAUGCGCUUCAAGCGCCUAAAACACGUUCGACUACAAAUGCAGCAGCAGAUGCUAAAAAGGUUCGACCACUUAAAGCGAAUCAAGUACAACCACUUAACAAAUAUCCAGUUGUUUUUGUACAUGGAUUUUUAGGAUUAGUAGGCGAUAAUGCACCUGCUUUAUAUCCAAAUUAUUGGGGUGGAAAUAAAUUUAAAGUUAUCGAGGAAUUGAGAAAGCAAGGCUAUAAUGUACAUCAAGCAAGUGUAAGUGCAUUUGGUAGUAACUAUGAUCGCGCUGUAGAACUUUAUUAUUACAUUAAAGGUGGUCGCGUAGAUUAUGGCGCAGCACAUGCAGCUAAAUACGGACAUGAGCGCUAUGGUAAGACUUAUAAAGGAAUCAUGCCUAAUUGGGAACCUGGUAAAAAGGUACAUCUUGUAGGGCAUAGUAUGGGUGGUCAAACAAUUCGUUUAAUGGAAGAGUUUUUAAGAAAUGGUAACAAAGAAGAAAUUGCCUAUCAUAAAGCGCAUGGUGGAGAAAUAUCACCAUUAUUCACUGGUGGUCAUAACAAUAUGGUUGCAUCAAUCACAACAUUAGCAACACCACAUAAUGGUUCACAAGCAGCUGAUAAGUUUGGAAAUACAGAAGCUGUUAGAAAAAUCAUGUUCGCUUUAAAUCGAUUUAUGGGUAACAAGUAUUCGAAUAUCGAUUUAGGAUUAACGCAAUGGGGCUUUAAACAAUUACCAAAUGAGAGUUACAUUGACUAUAUAAAACGCGUUAGUAAAAGCAAAAUUUGGACAUCAGACGAUAAUGCUGCCUAUGAUUUAACGUUAGAUGGCUCUGCAAAAUUGAACAACAUGACAAGUAUGAAUCCUAAUAUUACGUAUACGACUUAUACAGGUGUGUCUUCACAUACUGGUCCAUUAGGUUAUGAAAAUCCUGAUUUAGGUACAUUUUUCUUAAUGGAUACAACGAGUAGAAUUAUUGGUCAUGAUGCAAGAGAAGAAUGGCGUAAAAAUGAUGGUGUCGUACCAGUGAUUUCGUCGUUACAUCCAUCCAAUCAACCAUUUAUUAAUGUUACGAAUGAUGAACCUGCCACACGCAGAGGUAUCUGGCAAGUUAAACCAAUCAUACAAGGAUGGGAUUAACUUGUGUUAAAAAGCCUUUAAUAUCAGUUGUUACAAAGGAUUUGUAGCGUCUUUAAAAAUAAAAAAGGGCAGAAAAAGGGCAGAUACCUUUUAGUACACAAGUUUUUCUAAUUUUUGCUCUAACUCUCUGUCCAUUUUCUCUGUUACAUGUGUAUACACCUUUAUAGUCGUUUUUUCAUCUCUAUGUCCUACUCUUUUCAUAAUUGCUUUUAACGAUAUAUUCAUUUCCGCCAAUAAACUUAUGUGUGUAUGCCUUAGUGUGUGAGUAGUAACUUUUUUAUUUAUAUUUAAUGAUUCUGCAGCUGAGGACAAUCGUUUGUUUAUCCUACUGCCUUGCAUAGGAUUUCCUUGGCAAGUUGUGAAUAUAAACCCUCUAUCAACAUAGCUUGGUUCCCAUUGUUGCAUCUUUUUAUUUUCUAACAUUAUUUUUUUCAAUACAUUUGCUAUCCUUGAAUUGAUGGCGAUUUUUCUUUUUGAACCUGCGGUCUUCGUAGUAUCUUUGUGACCAAAUCCAGCAUUACAUUUGAUUCUGUGAAUAGUGCCAUUAAUAGCGAUCGUUUUAUUUUUGAGGUCUACAUCUUUAACUUGGAGCGCUAAUAACUCACCUAUGCGCAUACCUGUUAAAGCUUGAACUUCAACAGCCCCAGCAACUAAAAUACGAGCUCUAUACUGCAUGUUAUUAUCGUUCAGUAUAAAAUCGCGUAUCUGUAUUACCUGUUCCAUCUCUAAAUAGUUAUACAUUUUCGCUUCUUCUUUUUCUAUAUCUUCUAUCGUCUUACUCUUCUUUGGUAGUGUGACGCUAUUUAAUAUGUGUUCGUUUGGAUAAUUGUAAAAUUUAACGGCGUAUUUAAUAGCUUCUUUCAUAUGUCCAAGUUGACGCUUUACCUGAUUUGCAGAAUAUACGUUUGAUAAUUCGUUAAUAAAUGUUUGCAUGUACUUUGUAUCAAUUUUGUUUAAAAGUAAAUUUUGAGAACUGUUCUUUUUGAUGUUUUUGAUUCUUGUUUUCAAAUUAUCAAGCGUCGUUACUUUAAAGCCAGAUGUUUUUAUAUGAUAUUCAAGCCAUUCAUCUAAUAGCGCGUGAAAAGUCAAAGUUUUUAAUUCGCUUGACGACUUGUUGUUCAGUUUUUCUUUUAUUUUUUCUUCUAAACGAAACAUUGCUUCUUUUUGAGAUUGUUUUGUAUUCUUGUUCAACACAACACUUACGCGCUUCCAUUUAUCUGUGUAUGGAUCUUUGUACUUCUCGUAAUAUCUGUAUUUAGUUUCGUUAUUUUUGUUUUU